rnacentral:rRNA from 1 species
UAAGGAAUAUUGGUCAAUGGACGAAAGUCUGAACCAGCCAUGCCGCGUGGAGGAUGAAGGUCCUCUGGAUUGUAAACUUCUUUUAUCUGGGACGAAAAAAGGUCUUUCUAGACCGUCUGACGGUACCAGAUGAAUAAGCACCGGCUAACUCCGUGCCAGCAGCCGCGGUAAUACGGAGGGUGCAAGCGUUAUCCGGAUUCACUGGGUUUAAAGGGUGCGUAGGUGGGUUGGUAAGUCAGUGGUGAAAUCUUCGAGCUUAACUCGGAAACUGCCAUUGAUACUAUCAGUCUUGAAUAUUGUGGAGGUUAGCGGAAUAUGUCAUGUAGCGGUGAAAUGCUUAGAUAUGACAUAGAACACCAAUUGCGAAGGCAGCUGGCUACACAUAUAUUGACACUGAGGCACGAAAGCGUGGGGAUCAAACAGGAUUAGAUACCCUGGUAGUCCACGCCCUAAACUAUGGAUACUCGACAUACGCGAUACACUGUGUGUGUCUGAGCGAAAGCAUUAAGUAUCCCACCUGGGAAGUACGAUCGCAAGAUUG